CUUGAACACUCUCAGUUAAUCAUUAAGCAGGUGUUGAGAUUAGUUUUGUCAAGCCUCCAUAAUCAGCUGUCAAGAUGAGUUCUUCCAGUCAUCAACAAAACCCUGUGAAGUUUACUAUCACUCU